GAUGAACGCUGGCGGCGUGCCUAAUACAUGCAAGUCGAGCGAACAGACGAGGAGCUUGCUCCUCUGACGUUAGCGGCGGACGGGUGAGUAACACGUGGAUAACCUACCUAUAAGACUGGGAUAACUUCGGGAAACCGGAGCUAAUACCGGAUAAUAUAUUGAACCGCAUGGUUCAAUAGUGAAAGACGGUUUUGCUGUCACUUAUAGAUGGAUCCGCGCCCCAUUAGCUAGUUGGUAAGGUAACGGCUUACCAAGGCAACGAUGCGUAGCCGACCUGAGAGGGUGAUCGGCCACACUGGAACUGAGACACGGUCCAGACUCCUACGGGAGGCAGCAGUAGGGAAUCUUCCGCAAUGGGCGAAAGCCUGACGGAGCAACGCCGCGUGAGUGAUGAAGGUCUUCGGAUCGUAAAACUCUGUUAUUAGGGAAGAACAGAUGUGUAAGUAACUAUGCACGUCUUGACGGUACCUAAUCAGAAAGCCACGGCUAACUACGUG
rnacentral:rRNA from 1 species